rnacentral:rRNA from 1 species
GGGUGAGUAACACGUGGAUAACCUACCUAUAAGACUGGGAUAACUUCGGGAAACCGGAGCUAAUACCGGAUAAUAUUUUGAACCGCAUGGUUCAAAAGUAAAAGACGGUCUUGCUGUCACUUAUAGAUGGAUCCGCGCUGCAUUAGCUAGUUGGUAAGGUAACAGCUUACCAAGGCAACGAUGCAUAGCCGACCUGAGAGGGUGAUCGGCCACACUGGAACUGAGACACGGUCCAG